rnacentral:SRP_RNA from 1 species
GCCGGGUGUGGUGGCAUGUGCCUGUAGUCCCAGCCACUUGGGAGGCUGAGGUGGGAGGAUCGCUUGAGCCCAGGAGGCUGAGGUUGCAGUGAGUCAAGAUUGCACCACUGCACUCCAGCCUGGGCGACAGAGCCAGAUCCUGUCUCAA